CCCUGCCCAGCGCCCCAGCAUUCACGCGUGGGGAGGACACGUGUGGCCUCCCCAGGAAGCGGGAGCCUGCGAGCAGCUGGGAACCCCCUCGCGGGCACUCGCAAUUUUGUUUCCCGAAAGGAAGCCUUAACCCCGUGCUGGCAACAUUUCUGUAACAGAGUCAGACCCGCGCCUCUCGACUCCUUCCCACUGGGCCCAAGCAAGCGGGACGCCUUAGCGUCCCCUCCGGAAAAAGAGGAAUGGUCACUGUAGCCCCACGGGGAGGGAGCUCACCCUGUUCGGUUGUUUGGCCACGAGGAUGCUUAUCCGUCACACUGACCAUGGCACCGUGCAAGGGACUGGCUGGAACCCCGCAAGCCCGGCCCCUCGCGCUGUGGUUCAGGCUCCCGCCCGCCCGGCCAGUGCGCGCUGCCUUGGGAGGGCCUGGGAGCCUUUGCUGUUUUCUCACUACUGUCCUCCUCCUCCUGGUUUCAUCCCUUCUGGAUGGACGCGCUUGUUUUACCUCGCCACAGGCCUCUGUUUAUUUUAAUUUCUGCGGUUACACCAUGACUGAAAUUAUUUCAACACUGUCAGUUUGCAGAUGUUUUUAGCCUGGAGUGAGCACAAGGUGACCGGCCCUGGGGUAGCCGUCCUGGGCCGUGGAGCGGUCUUGAAGGCCAGAAGCCAACGAGGCUGGUGUCGUGGGAAGGUGACAAAGCCUGGGUGACACAGCAGUGUCCGAGCUGCCCUGGUAACUUCUAAUGUUGGCCAAAUCCAGAGGACACUUCUCAGUCUUUAUCUCACUGGUUUUGAGGCAUUUGACAUUGCUGACCCUCCCUUCUUGGAUCCUCGGACACCAAGGACACCAAAUGAGUAGGCCUGGGGAGGCCUCAGGUAUUUCUGCUUCCUCUGCUCCUUUCUUACCUGCCUUCAGCACGUGACACCAAACAGUCCGGAAAAUAAAAAUUAAGACUAGUCAGGAGGAACACAGGCUCGGAUAAUUGAAGUAAUUUGGAAAUCGGAAUAAGAGUUCA